rnacentral:misc_RNA from 1 species
UCCGUGUUAACCACGGCAGUCUCUUUAGAGUGCCCAACUUAAUGCUGGCAACUAAAGACAAGGGUUGCGCUCGUUGCGGGACUUAACCCAACAUGUCACCACACGAGCUGACGACAGCCAUGCACCACCUGUGAUCCUGCCCCGAAGGGAAGGUCUGUUUCCAGACCGGUCAGGAACAUGUCAAGCCCAGGUAAGGUUCUUCGCGUUGCGUCGAAUUAAACCACAUGCUCAGCUGCUUGUGCGGGCCCCCGUCAAUUCCUUUGAGUUUUAGCCUUGCGGCCGUACUCCCCAGGCGGGGUGCUUAAUGCGUUAGCGGCGGCACGGGAGGAGUCGACACCUCCCACACCUAGUGCCCAUCGUUUACGGCGUGGACUAC